GAGUUUGAUCGUGGCUCAGGAUGAACGCUGGCGGCGUGCCUAAUACAUGCAAGUCGAGCGGUAAGGCUUUCACAGAUUAUUUAACCGGAUAAGUUUCUCUCAAAAGAAAUACUGUCCGCACCGGAGUUCACUGGCUAGUGAGCACCAGUUGAAUGAUGUGUGAAAGUACACGAGCGGCGGACGGCUGAGUAACGCGUAGGAACGUACCCCAUAGUGAGGGAUAAGCACCGGAAACGGUGUCUAAUACCGCAUAAUCUCUUCGGAGCAAAGCUUUAUGCGCUUUGGGAGCGGCCUGCGUACGAUUAGGUUGUUGGUGAGGUAACGGCUCACCAAGCCGACGAUCGUUAGCUGGUCUGAGAGGAUGAUCAGCCAGACUGGGACUGAGACACGGCCCAGACUCCUACGGGAGGCAGCAGUAGGAAUUUCCGCAAUGGGCGAAAGCCUGACGGAGCAACGCCGCGUGCAGGAGGAAGGCC
rnacentral:rRNA from 1 species